CAGAAACUACAAAGGAAUUGACGGGGGCCCGCACAAGCGGUGGAGUAUGUGGUUUAAUUCGAUGCAACGCGAAGAACCUUACCUGGUCUUGACAUCCCGGAGACCCUUAGGAAACUAGGGGUGCUUCCAUCUGGAAGAAUCUGGAGACAGGUGCUGCAUGGCUGUCGUCAGCUCGUGUCGUGAGAUGUUGGGUUAAGUCCCGCAACGAGCGCAACCCUUGCCUUUAGUUGCCAGCAGUUCGGCUGGGCACUCUAAAGGGACUGCCGGUGUUAAACCGGAGGAAGGUGGGGAUGACGUCAAGUCCUCAUGGCCUUUAUGACCAGGGCUACACACGUACUACAAUGGCCGAUACAAAGGGCAGCGACACUGCGAGGUGAAGCCAAUCCCGUAAAAUCGGUCUCAGUCCGGAUUGGAGUCUGCAACUCGACUCCAUGAAGUUGGAAUCGCUAGUAAUCGUGGACCAGCAUGCCACGGUGAAUACGUUCCCGGGCCUU
rnacentral:rRNA from 1 species